rnacentral:sRNA from 1 species
GCUGCCCUCUGCCGGUGAGGCCGGACGCAGAGAACUCGUGGAGCGUCCCUGUUGGCGCGUCCCCGUUGGCGCGUCCCCGUGAUGCUCCCGCAAGGCUCCCACGGUGCUCCCAGCCCGGCUCAGCUUUUGAACCUUUGUUUUUUGUUUCUAUUUAUUUAUUUAACGGAAGGACUCCCAGAACCCGUGUGGCACUGUAGAGAACGCAGGCCCCAGAAGCGCGACGCGUCCUCCUAGCUCGCACCCGCAGGAAAUAGGCCAGCUCCGGUUGUCUGUGGUAACUGCCACCACCUCACGUGCCCGAGCCCUGUGACUCGGUGACCGCUCUGCUCUGUGACCCGUUUCCCCUUGUAAGAGCCCUGCUGCCCGUCAGCCCGCCGGAGGGUGGAUUCCUUGGAGCGCCCCACGCGGCCUCCAGAGGGCGCGGCGCGUCCCCGCAGCCACCCAGGCCUACACACACGGCGUGUAGGCGUCCCUGUUACUACCGCCAGGCCCAAGUGUGAGACUGAGGGGCGCUGACGUCACCGACGCCCGUCUCAGAGCCACGUUGAAGGAGUCGUGGCCCUGACUGGCGGAGGGGCAGAGGAUGUCUACCCCUCCUCUUAAGGUCCCAAUAAUGAACUGAGACAUGAUUUCACCAAGGUCACUCUGAGGAACCAAUACGUUUACUGGGAUUACAUAACAAAAGCAGGAUGGCUUUGCUCUGAAAUUCUGCACUCUGCCCACAUCUCUGACUCCAGAGGAAAACACCAAACGCCAUCUGGAACCCUGGUGCACG